AAUGAACGCUGGCGGCAGGCCUAACACAUGCAAGUCGAGCGAGGACUUCGGUUCUAGCGGCGGACGGGUGAGUAACGCGUGGGAAUGUGCCCUUCUCUACGGAAUAGCCCUGGGAAACUGGGAGUAAUACCGUAUACGCCCUAUUGGGGAAAGAUUUAUCGGAGAAGGAUCAGCCCGCGUUGGAUUAGGUAGUUGGUGGGGUAAUGGCCUACCAAGCCGACGAUCCAUAGCUGGUUUGAGAGGAUGAUCAGCCACACUGGGACUGAGACACGGCCCAGACUCCUACGGGAAGCAGCAGUGGGGAAUCUUAGACAAUGGGGGCAACCCUGAUCUAGCCAUGCCGCGUGAGUGAUGAAGGCCUUAGGGUUGUAAAGCUCUUUCAGCUGGGAAGAUAAUGACGGUACCAGCAGAAGAAGCCCCGGCUAACUCCGUG
rnacentral:rRNA from 1 species